rnacentral:rRNA from 1 species
UACGGAAGGCAGCAGUGGGGAAUAUUGCACAAUGGGCGCAAGCCUGAUGCAGCCAUGCCGCGUGUAUGAAGAAGGCCUUCGGGUUGUAAAGUACUUUCAGUCGUGAGGAAGGUGUUAAGGUUAAUAACCUUAGCAAUUGACGUUAGCGACAGAAGAAGCACCGGCUAACUCCGUGCCAGCAGCCGCGGUAAUACGGAGGGUGCGAGCGUUAAUCGGAAUUACUGGGCGUAAAGGGCACGCAGGCGGUUAAUAAGUUGGAUGUGAAUCCCCGGGCUUAACCUGGGAAUGGCAUUCAAGACUGGUUAGCUAGAGUCUUGUAGAGGGGGUAGAAUUCCAUGUGCAGCGGUGAAAUGCGUAGAGAUGUGGAGGAAUACCGGGUGGCGAAGGCGGCCCCUGGGACAAAGACUGACGCUCAUGUGCGAAAGCGUGGGGAGCAAACAGGAUUAGAUACC